AGUCUGGGAUGAGAAACAGCCAAAUCUGAGGACCGGAAGAUAAAACAAUCUUCCAGGUAUAUGCAGUAGUAUGCAGUUUUGAGA
rnacentral:snoRNA from 1 species